GCCUAAUUCCAAACCCUAUAUUCUACCUCCCCUUCAACCCCCGCUGUCUCCCACUCUUGCAGAUGUAGGUCUAACGGAAGCACGCCAUCACUGUCGGUAAGUUUUUUUCACAAAUUACUAUGUGACUUUUUAUGUGGAAUGCUUUAGUCAGGAUGAACGAGUUAUCAGCAUUCCGAGUUGAAGGAAGUAGAUUUUGUUGGAAACUUGAAAAUGGUUGUUGGAAAAUUAUGUUUAGGGUUACAAUCAAAGAUUGUAGGGUUUUGGCCAAAUUGGAAGAAUUGAUUAGGCUUGAGAUUGAAUAAAUUAUUUAAUUGAAUCUACCAUAAAAUUAGGGCAAAAAAAGUAAUAGCAUUUAUUAGAUGCUGAGAAGAACACAACAACAUGGGUUUCAAAUGGCUUGGAAAUGAAUUUAGCAGAUGCAUAUUACUUUGUGAAUAUUGUGAUAUUUGUGAGAAAUGAUAAAUUGAGGAAUUUGUGAAUUAUCUUAUUAAUCUUCUGAUCAAUUGUUUGUAGUGUAAGGUUUAUUAUCUAAUAUCUAUAUUAAUAUAAAAUAUUUUUUAUGCUGUUGAAGAUAACUGUUACCCUUAAUGACUAGUGCUUGGGUCGUUUCGUCUACUAAAUUUGUUGAUUUUUGCAAGUAUGUCAUUUUUAUAUGACCAAAUUCAUAAUGGAAUUUCCUCCUCGAGCCAACUUGGAGAGAUUAACAUUUGGAACUUGAUAAAGUGAGUUGCACUUUCUUAGACAAUGCAAUUUCAAUUGAGUUCACAAAGUAAAAUACCAAUAAUCAUGUUUAUUUGCUCUUGGGAAUUCUGUGAACAGAAGCCACAAGGACCCUAAGUAAAGAUAUCAUGCUUUUUUAAAAUUAGAAAAUAAACCAUAGAAGCAAAUAUUGGUUGGAUUGUCUCGUGUCAAGAAAUGAAACAAAGAGUAGACUAGAUUUCACAAGGUGAAUUUCUGUGGCAUUUUAAUAUGAUUUUAAAAUUGCAUAUGCUGGAAAUAAUACUUUUAAUAUUUUAUUUCUAAAGUAUUUAACGUUAGGCAGUAAAGUAUAAAAUUGGAUUGGGCUAGAAAUUCAUAAGCUCCUCAAAAAUAAUAUAGUAAAACAGACAUCGCUAUUACAAUUAUUGACUGUUGAUGGUCAAUGAUCAAAGGUCAUAGCCACUCUAGCUGACCUCCAAUACUAAAUCAGCCACUGUUUAUGUGUAUAUAUACAUAUGCUAUAAUAAUUUGUAUCUAUAUAUGUUGAUGCAAAAAAUUAAUCGUUUGAUGCUAUGGUGUUGCAAAUUUCAUUGCAUUUCUUUUCUCAAUCGAAUUUCGGUCAAAGAUUUGAAGAAUAUAAAGCUGAGAUUUCAUGAGUGUACAAAUUAUGCAGUUUUGAUUUGGUGGUAAUUUGCUAGACUAGGUCAUACGGCUAUGGCGGCUAUCUCCGAGUCAAUUAAAGUCAAUUGGUUCUCUCAAAUAUUCUUCUGUUCAUGCUAAGGGGCAAUCUUGCUUAGAGGUUAAUUUUUAGGGCUUUGUUUGAUCAAAUAUGAGUUUCGAAUGGAUUAUUUUAUGUUUUUCGUGUAACAAUAAGCCUCUAUUUGGUAGCAAAUUUUCACCUCAAAAAAUCAAUUUUUUUGACCAUUAUUUCUCUAUUCCAGCCAUCAUUUUUGACUUCUUCACUCAUAGGAAAGACCUACUUUUCUCUCCAACGGUCAAAAAAUCAAUUCUCAUAAUCACUACCAAACAGAUCCUAAAUUGUUUGUAAAAAAAAAAAUAAUAAAAACCUAUUUAUAUAAUAUUACUUAAAGUUAUUUAAGUAAAUAAGUAAACUAAAAAUUCUAGUGCACCUAAUAAAAUUCGUAUUGGUAACAUAAUUAACCUAAUUAUUUUUA
rnacentral:lncRNA from 1 species